AAAGUGCGAUAAGUGGUAUCAAUUGCAGAAUCACCCUAGUACCGAAUCUUUGAACGCAAAAGGCGCCCGAGAGAAGCUGUUCGCCAGCGAACCUCGUGCAUGCCGCAAUCUCAGUGUCGAACAAACAACAAAUAUAUCAAAAGAGUCUCGGACUUCGCAGCGUUUGUGUGCGCAAGCAUACACUCGUUCGCGGCCGGGCGGUUGCGAGCUGUCUGUGAGCGCCUCACCGCGCAACACGGCAGCGACAAAGAACGCAACAAAACCUAGACAACAAACAAAGAACAACAUGUGCUCUCUCGGGAGCACACCAAACUCUUAGUUAUUAUCUUCGUUCACAGACCUGAGUGCGGCAGGACUACCCGCCGAACUUAA
rnacentral:misc_RNA from 1 species